rnacentral:rRNA from 1 species
GUCAGGCUUCGGUGCAGUAGAGUAGCGAAAGGGCGAGGAACAACUACCUAACGUGCCUUCAGGUAAGGGAUAGCUCAUGGAAACGUGUGGUAAUACCUUAUAAUCUCAUUUCUUCAUAUGGAGUUUUGAGCAAAGGCUUGCUGCCUGAAGAUCGGGGUAGUUCCUAUCAGCUUGUUGGCGAGGUAAUGGCUCACCAAGGCGAAGACGGGUAGCUGGUGUGAGAGCACGACCAGCCGCAUCGGGACUGAGACACUGCCCGGACUCCUACGGGAGGCUGCAGUAACGAAUAUUCCGCAAUGCGCGAAAGCGUGACGGAGCAAUGCCGCGUGUGGGAUGAAGCAUCUAGGUGUGUAAACCACUGUCAGGGUUUAGGAAACAAAUGACCAGACCCAAAGGAAGAGCCGGCUAACUCUGUGCCAGCAGCCGCGGUAAUACAGAGGGCUCAAGCGUUAAUCGGAAUCACUGGGCUUAAAGGGUCCGCAGGCGGAUUGGUAAGUAUCUUGUGAAAUACCAUGGCUCAACCAUGGAAUUGCUCGGUAAACUGCCAAUCUUGAACACGGUAGGGGCCAUCGGAACUCUAGGUGGAGCGGUGAAAUGCGUAGAUAUCUAGAGGAACGCCAGAGGCGAAGGCGGAUGGCUGGGCCGUUGUU